AGCAGGUGGCCGCGCGUGCGCAGUGCGGGCGGUGGAGGCGAGGCUGUGGGCGCGUGGGGUGCGUGCGGUACCUGAGGGCCCCGCCCCCGCUUCGCCGAUCUCACACGCUCGGAAAUGAGCUGGACCCCUUCCUGCAGAUGAGAAAGGCUCCUAGAGAUAUUUGACUGUCCACUGAUGUUCUGGAAAGCUUUAGCACGUGGGAGCUGCCAUGGCAGCUCAGAUCUGUCCCCAGAACAUUCCUGCUUCCUUCACUGUAUGGUUUUGUCAGCACGUAGCUGCUGAUAUAGUUUGCUUUGUGUCUACACUGGUAGCUACGGCCAGUUUUACCCCUACGGGCCAGCUAUAACCCCUGUCAUCAUUAAUGGUUGUUAAAAUUGUGUACAUCUGCAAGUGAUACAUAGGG
rnacentral:lncRNA from 1 species